rnacentral:rRNA from 1 species
AUUGAACGCUGGCGGCAGGCUUAACACAUGCAAGUCGAGCGGGGUGAUGGUGCUUGCACUAUCACUUAGCGGCGGACGGGUGAGUAAUGCUUAGGAAUCUGCCUAUUAGUGGGGGACAACAUCUCGAAAGGGAUGCUAAUACCGCAUACGUCCUACGGGAGAAAGCAGGGGAUCGCAAGACCUUGCUCUAUUGGAGGAGCCCAUGUCCGAUUAGCUAGUUGGUGAGGUAAGGGCUCACCAAGGCAACGAUCGGUAACUGGUCUGAGAGGAUGGUCAGUCACACUGGAACUGAGACACGGUCCAGACUCCUACGGGAGGCAGCAGUGGGGAAUAUUGGACAAUGGGGGCAACCCUGAUCCAGCCAUGCCGCGUGUGUGAAGAAGGCCUUCGGGUUGUAAAGCACUUUAAGCAGGGAGGAAGGCUCGUACGUUAAUACCGUGCGGGAGUGACGUUACCUGCAGAAUAAGCACCAGCAAACUCCGUGCCAGCCGCCGCAGUAA